UUAAGCGACUAAGCGUACACGGUGGAUGCCCUGGCAGUCAGAGGCGAUGAAGGACGUGCUAAUCUGCGAUAAGCGUCGGUAAGGUGAUAUGAACCGUUAUAACCGGCGAUUUCCGAAUGGGGAAACCCAGUGUGUUUCGACACACUAUCAUUAACUGAAUCCAUAGGUUAAUGAGGCGAACCGGGGGAACUGAAACAUCUAAGUACCCCGAGGAAAAGAAAUCAACCGAGAUUCCCCCAGUAGCGGCGAGCGAACGGGGAGCAGCCCAGAGUCUGAAUCAGUGUGUGUGUUAGUGGAAGCGUCUGGAAAGGCGCGCGAUACAGGGUGACAGCCCCGUACACAAAAAUGCACAUGCUGUGAGCUCGAUGAGUAGGGCGGGACACGUGGUAUCCUGUCUGAAUAUGGGGGGACCAUCCUCCAAGGCUAAAUACUCCUGACUGACCGAUAGUGAACCAGUACCGUGAGGGAAAGGCGAAAAGAACCCCGGCGAGGGGAGUGAAAAAGAACCUGAAACCGUGUACGUACAAGCAGUGGGAGCACGCUUAGGCGUGUGACUGCGUACCUUUUGUAUAAUGGGUCAGCGACUUAUAUUCUGUAGCAAGGUUAACCGAAUAGGGGAGCCGAAGGGAAACCGAGUCUUAACUGGGCGUUAAGUUGCAGGGUAUAGACCCGAAACCCGGUGAUCUAGCCAUGGGCAGGUUGAAGGUUGGGUAACACUAACUGGAGGACCGAACCGACUAAUGUUGAAAAAUUAGCGGAUGACUUGUGGCUGGGGGUGAAAGGCCAAUCAAACCGGGAGAUAGCUGGUUCUCCCCGAAAGCUAUUUAGGUAGCGCCUCGUGAAUUCAUCUCCGGGGGUAGAGCACUGUUUCGGCAAGGGGGUCAUCCCGACUUACCAACCCGAUGCAAACUGCGAAUACCGGAGAAUGUUAUCACGGGAGACACACGGCGGGUGCUAACGUCCGUCGUGGAGAGGGAAACAACCCAGACCGCCAGCUAAGGUCCCAAAGUCAUGGUUAAGUGGGAAACGAUGUGGGAAGGCCCAGACAGCCAGGAUGUUGGCUUAGAAGCAGCCAUCAUUUAAAGAAAGCGUAAUAGCUCACUGGUCGAGUCGGCCUGCGCGGAAGAUGUAACGGGGCUAAACCAUGCACCGAAGCUGCGGCAGCGACGCUUAUGCGUUGUUGGGUAGGGGAGCGUUCUGUAAGCCUGCGAAGGUGUGCUGUGAGGCAUGCUGGAGGUAUCAGAAGUGCGAAUGCUGACAUAAGUAACGAUAAAGCGGGUGAAAAGCCCGCUCGCCGGAAGACCAAGGGUUCCUGUCCAACGUUAAUCGGGGCAGGGUGAGUCGACCCCUAAGGCGAGGCCGAAAGGCGUAGUCGAUGGGAAACAGGUUAAUAUUCCUGUACUUGGUGUUACUGCGAAGGGGGGACGGAGAAGGCUAUGUUGGCCGGGCGACGGUUGUCCCGGUUUAAGCGUGUAGGCUGGUUUUCCAGGCAAAUCCGGAAAAUCAAGGCUGAGGCGUGAUGACGAGGCACUACGGUGCUGAAGCAACAAAUGCCCUGCUUCCAGGAAAAGCCUCUAAGCAUCAGGUAACAUCAAAUCGUACCCCAAACCGACACAGGUGGUCAGGUAGAGAAUACCAAGGCGCUUGAGAGAACUCGGGUGAAGGAACUAGGCAAAAUGGUGCCGUAACUUCGGGAGAAGGCACGCUGAUAUGUAGGUGAAGUCCCUCGCGGAUGGAGCUGAAAUCAGUCGAAGAUACCAGCUGGCUGCAACUGUUUAUUAAAAACACAGCACUGUGCAAACACGAAAGUGGACGUAUACGGUGUGACGCCUGCCCGGUGCCGGAAGGUUAAUUGAUGGGGUCAGCGCAAGCGAAGCUCUUGAUCGAAGCCCCGGUAAACGGCGGCCGUAACUAUAACGGUCCUAAGGUAGCGAAAUUCCUUGUCGGGUAAGUUCCGACCUGCACGAAUGGCGUAAUGAUGGCCAGGCUGUCUCCACCCGAGACUCAGUGAAAUUGAACUCGCUGUGAAGAUGCAGUGUACCCGCGGCAAGACGGAAAGACCCCGUGAACCUUUACUAUAGCUUGACACUGAACAUUGAGCCUUGAUGUGUAGGAUAGGUGGGAGGCUUAGAAGUGUGGACGCCAGUCUGCAUGGAGCCGACCUUGAAAUACCACCCUUUAAUGUUUGAUGUUCUAACGUGGACCCGUAAUCCGGGUUGCGGACAGUGUCUGGUGGGUAGUUUGACUGGGGCGGUCUCCUCCUAAAGAGUAACGGAGGAGCACGAAGGUUGGCUAAUCCUGGUCGGACAUCAGGAGGUUAGUGCAAUGGCAUAAGCCAGCUUGACUGCGAGCGUGACGGCGCGAGCAGGUGCGAAAGCAGGUCAUAGUGAUCCGGUGGUUCUGAAUGGAAGGGCCAUCGCUCAACGGAUAAAAGGUACUCCGGGGAUAACAGGCUGAUACCGCCCAAGAGUUCAUAUCGACGGCGGUGUUUGGCACCUCGAUGUCGGCUCAUCACAUCCUGGGGCUGAAGUAGGUCCCAAGGGUAUGGCUGUUCGCCAUUUAAAGUGGUACGCGAGCUGGGUUUAGAACGUCGUGAGACAGUUCGGUCCCUAUCUGCCGUGGGCGCUGGAGAACUGAGGGGGGCUGCUCCUAGUACGAGAGGACCGGAGUGGACGCAUCACUGGUGUUCGGGUUGUCAUGCCAAUGGCACUGCCCGGUAGCUAAAUGCGGAAGAGAUAAGUGCUGAAAGCAUCUAAGCACGAAACUUGCCCCGAGAUGAGUUCUCCCUGACUCCUUGAGAGUCCUGAAGGAACGUUGAAGACGACGACGUUGAUAGGCCGGGUGUGUAAGCGCAGCGAUGCGUUGAGCUAACCGGUACUAAUGAACCGUGAGGCUUAACCUU
rnacentral:rRNA from 1 species